rnacentral:rRNA from 1 species
AGGGAAUCUUCCGCAAUGGACGAAAGUCUGACGGAGCAACGCCGCGUGAGCGAAGAAGGCCUUCGGGUCGUAAAGCUCUGUUGUUAGGGAAGAACAAGUGCCGUUCGAAUAGGGCGGCACCGUGACGGUACCUAACCAGAAAGCCACGGCUAACUACGUGCCAGCAGCCGCGGUAAUACGUAGGUGGCAAGCGUUGUCCGGAAUUAUUGGGCGUAAAGCGCGCGCAGGCGGUCUCUUAAGUCUGAUGUGAAAUCUCGCGGCUCAACCGCGAGCGGUCAUUGGAAACUGGGGGGCUUGAGUGCAGAAGAGGAGAGCGGAAUUCCACGUGUAGCGGUGAAAUGCGUAGAGAUGUGGAGGAACACCAGUGGCGAAGGCGGCUCUCUGGUCUGUGACUGACGCUGAGGCGCGAAAGCGUGGGGAGCGAAC